ensembl:snoRNA Gm22529 predicted gene, 22529
UCUGCCCCUAGAGGCAUUGUAGGCAUAGCUGCUGUGUCACAUGAGCAUCAGUAGGUGGCAGAGAGGAGAGAGGCUGACUUAGUGUACUGACCUAUGAACAGCAGAAGGAUGUUCUCUGAANNN